rnacentral:tRNA from 1 species
GGGAGGAUAGCUCAGUGGUAGAGUGCGUGCUUAGCGUGCAUGAUGUCCUGAGUUCAAUCCCCAGUAUGUCUG